rnacentral:rRNA from 1 species
UACGUAUGGGGCAAGCGUUAUCCGGAAUUAUUGGGCGUAAAGAGUGCGUAGGUGGUUACCUAAGCGCAAGGUUUAAUCUUGAGGCUCAACCUCAUUCUGCCUUGCGAACUGGGCUACUUGAGUGCAGGAGGGGAAAGCGGAAUUCCCAGUGUAGCGGUGAAAUGCGUAGAUAUUGGGAAGAACACCGGUGGCGAAGGCGGCUUUCUGGACUGUAACUGACACUUAGGCACGAAAGCGUGGGGAGCAAACAGGAUUAGAUACCCUGGUAGUCCCUGA